GGGCCAGUGGCGCAAUGGAUAACGCGUCUGACUACGGAUCAGAAGACUCCAGGUUCGACUCCUGGCUGGCUCG
rnacentral:tRNA from 3 species